GAAGCCGUUAGGGCGUGGCGGAACCGGAAGGCGGCCUAGGGACGCACGCAGGCUCGGCUGUCUCUUUAGGCCACGGAGCUGCGUAGAUCCGGAACCCUGGGCGACUGAUCUGUCCCCAUUGGGCGAGACCUACCUAGACAAAGGCCUUAACAUACCGACAAAGGCCUUAAGGGGCCUGGGAGGUGAGCGAAGUCCCGAAAAACGGGUGGAAGGUUAGGGGCCAUGGGGCGGCUGGUCUUCCUUCUACCAGAUCUUGCUGUUGGGAGAAAUGGUAGAAUGACAGGCCACUUUUGGCCCGUUGGAAAUGCCCACCACCCUUUGGGAAGAUUUACUGGCCAUUUAUGGAAGGCCUGUGUAUACAAUAUGAAAAACCUGCCCUCAACUCCACCCUAGCCUGUUGAUAGAAAACAUUUGUCACAUCUAGCCCUUCUAGAUGGAAAGAGGUUCCUGACGUAUGAUAAAGUAGAGUUAGAAAGUCACAUCUUGUAAAUUCUCAUUUGUUUAAAGGAAGUCGUACAAAAUAAAUGUCUUCUGGAGAUGAUUUUUGGAAAUGGAGUUAUUAGACAGCCCCUGGAAGCGAUACAUCCACGUUUGUUCAGUGGGUUAGAUGACAUGGAGCUGGAAGACCUGAGAAGGAAGAGAAGAAGGUUCUAUGACAGACUGGUCAUAUUUAGAAGACACUUUCAUAUUCUAUCCAUAGUUUUGUAUGCAUUUUAUUCCUCACUACCUUAUAUAUAGUUGACAAUGCUAAGCUUUUUUGAAAUGUCUGUUUUUUUAGAUGUUCUGAAGUGCCUGAUAUAUGUUAAAAUUAAAGGCAUGAACCUUCAGAGCCCUGAGCUGCCUUGUAAGAAGUCUAGCUAGCAAUGCCACCAUGCUGGAGAGAUGAUGAGGGAAAACUACAUACAGACACAAACAGAGUGAGACACUCAAGAAGCCCUAGUUGUGGAAUACAGCAGUGCUAUGGAGGCUUGACAUAACCAUCUACUUUUCCAGAAACCCACAUUGUCUAAGGUAAAAUAACUGCUCUGGAAAAGAAGGCAAGAAAGUAAAACAAGGCAAU
rnacentral:lncRNA from 1 species